rnacentral:sRNA from 1 species
UACCCGAUAAGUGAGGCUACUUAAGGGAUAUGGGCUGCUGCCGCAAAGUGAUGGAGACAUCACACGCAGGUUUAACAGUUGGGGUCGCAUCAAGGCUUCAACCAAUGCAGUUUCACCGCCCUUUUGAGCUAAAGCCCAAACGGA